GACGAACGCUGGCGGCGUGCCUAAUACAUGCAAGUCGAGGGCACCGGGCACGGGUGAGUAACACGUGGGUAACCUCCCAUCAGAGGGGAUAACACUUGGAAACAGGUGCUAAACCGAUACUGAUGGAUGGACCCGCGGUGCAUUAGCUAGUUGGUGAGGUAACGGCUCACCAAGGCCACGAUGCAUAGCCGACCUGAGAGGGUGAUCGGCCACACUGGGACAGAGACACGGCCCAGACUCCUACGGGAGGCAGCAGUAGGGAAUCGUCGGCAAUGGACGAAAGUUUGAACGAGCAACGCCGCGUGAGUGAAGAAGGUGUUCGGAUCGUAAAACUCUGUUGUUAGAGAAGCGGUAUCUAACCAGAAAGCCACGGCUAACUACGUGCCAGCCGCCGCGGUAAUUC
rnacentral:rRNA from 1 species